UCCUCAGGUGAACCUAAAGUGCGAUCGUUACUGAGUUUACGCUCUACAACCCUUUGUGAACAUACCUAUAACUGUUGCUUCGGCGGGUAGGGUCUCCGCGACCCCCUUUGGGUCCCUCCCCCGGGCGGGUCCCUUCCCCCCCGGGGAUAACCAAAGUGGGGGUUACCGACGUUUCUUUGAGUGGUACAAGCAAAUAAUCAAAACUUUUAACAACGGAUCUCUUGGUUCUGGCAUCGAUGAAGAACGCAGCGAAAUGCGAUAAGUAAUGUGAAUUGCAGAAUUCAGUGAAUCAUCGAAUCUUUGAACGCACAUUGCGCCCGCCAGCAUUCUGGCGGGCAUGCCUGUUCGAGCGUCAUUUCAACCCUCAAGCUCUGCUUGGUGUUGGGGCCCUACAGCCGAUGUAGGCCCUCAAAGGUAGUGGCGGACCCUCCCGGAGCCUCCUUUGCGUAGUAACUUUACGUCUCGCACUGGGAUCCGGAGGGACUCUUGCCGUAAAACCCCCCAAUUUUCCAAAGGUUGACCUCGGAUCAGGUAGGAAUACCCGCGAACUAUCUAGUCCUCCCU
rnacentral:rRNA from 1 species